rnacentral:rRNA from 1 species
UGGGGAAUCUUCCGCAAUGGACGAAAGUCUGACGGAGCAACGCCGCGUGAGUGAAGAAGGCCUUCGGGUUGUAAAGCUCUGUUAUCGGGGAAGAACACUUUCUAUGUGAAUAAUGUAGAGAGAUGACGGUACCCGAGGAGGAAGCCACGGCUAACUACGUGCCAGCAGCCGCGGUAAUACGUAGGUGGCGAGCGUUGUCCGGAAUUAUUGGGCGUAAAGCGCGCGCAGGCGGGAAAGUAAGUCUACUCUAAAAGUGCGGGGCUCAACCCCGUGAUGGGGUGGAAACUGCUUUUCGUGAGUGCCGGAGAGGAAAGCGGAAUUCCCAGUGUAGCGGUGAAAUGCGUAGAUAUUGGGAGGAACACCAGUGGCGAAGGCGGCUUUCUGGACGGUGUCUGACGCUGAGGCGCGAAAGCCAGGGGAGCGAACG